UUACAUCAGCAGUUUAUCUUUCUUCCUUUUUAUGCUCGGGGAUGAGCAUCGUCUAAGAAUGGAGGAGGAGUCAUCGCAUUAUCUCUAACUGCUGCGGUGUAAAGUACUAUGUUUUAAGAAGUCCUGAGGAGCAAAAUAAAAAAAUAAGGAAAAAGAAAGAAAAAUGAGGAAAAAGAAAGAAAGAAGAAAGAAAAGAAAAAGGAAUGAAAAAGAAAAAAUGAUAAUAAGAAAAAUAAUAAAACGCUCAUUAGUUCUUUAAGCCUCAUUAAGGUUCCCAGUGCUCUCAAGAUUAAGGAUUGAUCCAUACUCAUUUUCCAACCAUGUGCAAUCUGAUAACGAGGACUUCAUUUGUUCCUCGGGAUUAUGCAUUUGCCACUUGCACAUGUCCUCUUAUCUAAAUGUGUUUAUUUCAUUGCUCUUCCUCUCCAACAUUUAUUUUUCAUGGCCUUUUUGACAAGUCUCAGUAAUCCCAAUAGAUCUCUCUCUUAGUUUGACAAUAUUUUAGAUAUAAUAUUUUGCUAGGAUUGUUUCUACC
rnacentral:lncRNA from 1 species